ensembl:snRNA Gm24592 predicted gene, 24592
GUGCUCGCUUCAGCAGCACAUAUACUAAAAAAUUGGAACGAUACAGAGAUUAGCAUGGCCUCUGCGCAAGGAUGACAUGCAAAUUCGUGAAGCGUUUAAAAAAAA